UGCCUUAGUAACGGCGAGUGAAGCGGCAACAGCUCAAAUUUGAAAGCUGGCCCUUUCAGGGUCCGCAUUGUAAUUUGUAGAGGAUGAUUCGGCGAGGGCUCCCGCCUAAGUCCCCUGGAACGGGGCGUCAUAGAGGGUGAGAAUCCCGUAUGCGGUGGGCUGCCUUAGCCAUGUGAAUCUCCUUCGACGAGUCGAGUUGUUUGGGAAUGCAGCUCUAAAUGGGAGGUAAAUUUCUUCUAAAGCUAAAUACCGGCCAGAGACCGAUAGCGCACAAGUAGAGUGAUCGAAAGAUGAAAAGCACUUUGGAAAGAGAGUUAAAAAGUACGUGAAAUUGUUGAAAGGGAAGCGCUUGCAACCAGACUUGUCCGCAGUUGCUCAGCCGGUCUCCUGACCGGCGUACUCUUCUGCGGCCAGGCCAGCAUCAGUUCGGGCGGUCGGAUAAAGACCUCGGGAAUGUAGCUCCUCUCGGGGAGUGUUAUAGCCCGGGGUGGAAUGCGGCCAGCCUGGACUGAGGAUCUCGCUUCGGCAAGGAUGCUGGCGUAAUGGUUGUAAGCGGCCCGUCUUGAAACACGGACCAAGGAGUCUAACAUCUAUGCGAGUGUUUGGGUGUCAAACCCAUACGCGUAAUGAAAGUGAACGGAGGUGGGAACCCGCAAGGGUGCACCAUCGGCCGAUCCUGAUGUCUUCGGAUGGAUUUGAGCAAGAGCAUAGCUGUUGGGACCCGAAAGAUGGUGAACUAUGCCUGAAUAGGGUGAAGCCAGAGGAAACUCUGGUGGAGGCUCGCAGCGGUUCUG
rnacentral:rRNA from 1 species